GCCUCAUUAGCUCAGUUGGUUAGAGCGACGGACUGUUAAUCCGCAGGUCCCAGGUUCGAGUCCUGGAUGGGGCG
rnacentral:tRNA from 1 species